rnacentral:miRNA from 1 species
GCAGACACAUUCCAGCCAAUCAGCAGCAGACCCUCCCUCCCAGAUCCUCCCACCUCUUGGACAGCAUCCAUUUUACAUUCAUUGUGAAGCAGCAUUCUUAGUGAGCUGUCCAGGAGGUGGGAGGGUCUGGGAGGGAGGGUCUGCUGCUGAUUGGCUGGAAGGUGUCUG